GGAAGCGGCGGCGGGAGCUUCCGGGAGGGCGGCUCGCAGGCACCAUGACUCCUGUGAGGAUGCAGCACUCCCUGGCAGGUCAGACCUAUGCCGUGCCCCUCAUCCAGCCAGACCUGCGGCGAGAGGAGGCCGUCCAGCAGAUGGCGGAUGCCCUGCAGUACCUGCAGAAGGUCUCUGGAGACAUCUUCAGCAGCCAACAAAUAUUUACCCAGCAGUGCUCGUGUGCAAGGCAGUGUGGGAAUCUCUAUAUAUCCAGCCACGGAUAAGGCAACAUACCUCUCCACCUGGAGCGCACAUUCUGGCAGGAGAGAAAGACCUAAAUAAGCAAUAGAUGAUUAGUUCUUCAAUAACAGUUGUGACAAGGUCUAUUGAUAAUAUUUUGUAAUCACUAAUAUUCAUAUAAACCGUGCACAACCAUUGAUUUGAG
ensembl:lncRNA novel transcript